UGCCUUGGUGAUUCAUACAACUUUCUGGGAUCUUUUGAUUAACAGAGAAAAAGUCAUAAGAUCAGCAAGAAGAGAAACUGUAGAUUUGCCUCAACUCAACAUGUUAAGUAAUCGCCUGACAUCUACAUAAGACCACCUCUUGGCACCUGGCUACACAAGCUGAAAUGGUUGUCUUUGGAAAAAGAAUAGACAUUCAUGGCAGACCAAAGAUCACUCUCUGAAGGUGUUAUGUGAGAAAUCCACACAGGAGAAACCCAAGAAAACCACGCAGGUAAAUGCUAGCCUGGAAAGACAGAGGGAAAACAUGCCAAGUGGAGCCCACCACAAGGACAGCAGUCAGAGCCCAAGAGCCCAGCUUUAAAAGGGCUGCAUACCAAAAGGAACAAAAGCACAAAACAAACAAACAAACAAACAAACAAGCAAAUGAUGGUGGAAACUAUUUUCAAAACUUCCCUGUUCUGGUAAAGACGUUUUCAGAGCUCAAACUAGUCCUGCUGAAAAUAUUUUUUAAAAUAUGAAAGCAUAGCGGAAAAUGUAUUGUAUGAAAAAGAAAAAAGAAAAAGAAGGAGGAGGAAGAAGAAGAAGAAAGAAGAAAAAGGAGAGGAAGAAGAAGAAGGAGGAGGAGGAGAAGAAGAGGAGGAGGAGGAGGAGGAAAUGGCAGAGACAAUGUAUGUCCCAGAAAGCCUAAAAUGUGUACUGUUUGUCCGUUUAUAGAAAAAGUGUGCCAGUCCCUACUCUGUUCCCAAUUUUAAAAACAAAUAAAUAAAAAGAAAAACAAGCAAGUCUCUCAGCCAAGAAAGAAUCGAUGGGAACUUUUUCAACUUUAUAAAGUGGAUCUACAAAAAACUACAACUAACACUAACGUCACACCUAAUGGUGAAAGUCUGAAUGUUUUCCCUCUAAGACUAGGAAAAGGUGGCAUGGAUGUCCACUCUCCCUACUCUAUUCAGCAUUGUAUCAAAAGUUCUUAUCAGUGAAAUAAGACAAGAAAACAAUAAAUGGCAUCCAUAUUGGAAAAGAAGUAACACUGUCUUUAUUUGCAGAUGACAUUAUAAUCUAAAUAGAAAAUCUUAUGGAAUCUGCUAAAAAGCUAAUAGAACCAAUAAGCGAGUUUAGCAUAGUUACAAGACACAACAUAUAAAAAUUAAUUAUAUUUCAAAAUACUAGCAAUGAACAAUUAAAUUUUCCUUUUAAAAUUUUCAACAACAUCAAGACAUGAACCACUGGGGGAUAAACCCCAUGAAACAUGGCAGAAAAAAAUUCAGGAA
rnacentral:lncRNA from 10 species